UUAAACAAAACCCUUGACCAAACCAAACAGUAUUUUCCCCCAUUUAUAAAGUUCACUGCUUCUCUCCUGCUUUUGUCUUCUUACAAAAAACAAAAAAAUUGGAGGUAUUUCAUUCUGCUUCAACUUGAAGAUCAAAAGAAGGAUUACUCAAAGUCUCGCAAGUCUAUAAAAAAACAAAACCAACAGGAUUUGGAAGCUUAUGGGAGAUCUGUACAUCAUGUCUUCUUUGGUCUGUGCACUUCAUGUUUUGGGCAGUGCUUUUUGUAAUAUCUUGGAGAAUUAUACUGGGAAGAUAAUUGAUUCUUGCGUAAACGAUGUCGGAAGUGUUAUUCACUUCGAUGAGAAUUUGGAAACUCUGGAAAGAAAUAUAAAGCAAUUAUCAUCUAAAGCAGUUGAUGUG